GCUGGGUAUGUUGGCACACACCUGUAAUUCCAGGGACCUGGGAGGCUGAAGCAGGAGGAUUACAGUUUCAAAGCCAGCCUCAU
rnacentral:sRNA from 1 species